GUCCAAGACCCACAGCAGAGUCGAGUCAAAAAGAAUGGCUCUGGAGCUGAGAGAUGCUCCUUCAGUAGCCAGCACAAGGAGCAAAACUUGCUUUUCCCAUUGGCUUGGCUUCCUGUAUCACCUCCAGAAAGUAGAGAUUCCACAAGUUUCCUGAUUCUUGAGCUUGCUUGAUCUAGAGAAGAUGAAGAAAUGGCCCACACCACAGCAUGCUCUGGAGAUCAUUAAUCAAAAGGUUGACAGUGAGCUGUCUUGGAGGAUAGGCCCAUGUUGGAUUCUCUCUCUUCACUGGCACCUGGUACGUGGCAAGGCUAACAACUCCUUAUGUACUCACUGCCUGAACCAUAGACUCAAACUCAAACCCCUUGUGCAGUAUCAGAUCUCUUCAAUAGCUUUGUUUAUAUAUAUAUGUGCGAGGGCGUGUAUGCAUGUAUUUUUUCUUUCAAAACUAUUCCUAUAUCUAUCCAUACGAUGGAACAUUAUUCAGCCUCAAAAAGGAAUGAAGUUCUGACACGUUACAAAAUGCAUGAACCUUGAAGAUAUUAUGCUAAGUGAAAGAAGCCAGUCACAAAAGGACAGAUACUGUAUGAUUCCACUUACAUGAAGCCCCUAGAGUAGGCACACCCAUAGAGCCAGAAAGUAGAAGGGUGGUUG
rnacentral:lncRNA from 1 species